GUCGAGAAUAAUUCACAAUGGACGAAAGUCUGAUGGUGCAACGCCGCGUGGAGGAUGACGGUCUUCGGAUUGUAAACUCCUGUCAUCCGGGAGUAAGACCUGGCUGUGAAUAGCAGACAGGGUUGAUAGUACCGGAAGAGGAAGGGACGGCUAACUUCGUGCCAGCAGCCGCGGUAAUACGAAGGUCCCGAGCGUUGUUCGGAAUCACUGGGCGUAAAGGGAGCGUAGGCGGCGUGGUAAGUCAGAUGUGAAAUCCCGGGGCUCAACCCCGGAACUGCAUCCGAUACUGCCGUGCUAGAGGAUUGGAGAGGUAGCUGGAAUUCUUGGUGUAGCAGUGAAAUGCGUGGAGAUCAAGAGGAACACUCGUGGCGAAAGCGAGCUACUGGACAACAUCUGACGCUGAGGCUCGAAGGCCAGGGGAGCAAAAGGGAUUAGAUACCCUAGUAGUCC
rnacentral:rRNA from 1 species